UGCCACAGCCAUUUCACCUUACAGCCCAAGAUUGGUUACUCACUGAAGCUUAGCAGGGCUGAGCUUGGUUAGCCCCUGGAUGGGAGACCACAUGGAAAAACUAGGUUGCUGUUGAAA
rnacentral:rRNA from 1 species